CAAGGCCUACGGGGGGCAGCAGUAGGGAAUCUUCCACAAUGGGCGAAAGCCUGAUGGAGCAACGCCGCGUGGGUGAAGAAGGUCUUCGGAUCGUAAAACCCUGUUGUUAGAGAAGAAAGUGCGUGAGAGUAACUGUUCACGUUUCGACGGUAUCUAACCAGAAAGCCACGGCUAACUACGUGCCAGCAGCCGCGGUAAUACGUAGGUGGCAAGCGUUAUCCGGAUUUAUUGGGCGUAAAGGGAACGCAGGCGGCCUUUUAAGCUUGAUGUGAAAGCCUUCGGUUUAACCG
rnacentral:rRNA from 1 species